rnacentral:rRNA from 1 species
GACGUAGGGCGCGAGCGUUGUCCGGAUUUAUUAGGCGUAAAGAGCUCGUAGGCGGCUUGUCGCGUCGACUGUGAAAUCCCGAGGCUCAACUUCGGGCUUGCAGUCGAUACGGGCAGGCUAGAGUUCGGUAGGGGAGACUGGAAUUCCUGGUGUAGCGGUGAAAUGCGCAGAUAUCGGGAAGAACACCCGUGGCGAAGGCGGCACUCUGGGACGGUACUGACGCUGAGACGCGAAAGCGUGGGGAGCGAACAGG